GCAGAGAGUCUAAACCCCGGAAGGUAGUGACCUGGGGGAACAAGGACAGCAUUCAGAGACCACGAGCAGGUGUGCUACACAACAGCAGGCUAACGCAAAACAGAAAAUGACAGGGCUGAUAACGGUGAAAACUCUUAACUGCAACAUUGAGCAGGAGGUUUUGUUUGCGGGCUGUUGGGAAAGGUUCUCUCUUGUUUGCAUAGAUACGCAGUGACAGUCUUGGAGCAUAGCCUGCAC
rnacentral:lncRNA from 1 species